UGAGAUUUUGACGUCUUUCUUUUUCUCUCUCUUUCUGAAGAUGAAAAUAUCUCAAAUGAUAGAAGAUGAACCGACGACUAACUACAUCCACUUUGUUUAUAGCGUCUUCAUUUUUUUUCAUGUCUCCAAUUGAUUGACACUGGGCAAGUGGGAAUCGGACCAAAUUGACUAUCAUCAGUCAAUUAAUUCCUGAUUUGGUGAGCGUCUGAGCGGAGAAGGAAAACCCUAAAACUCCAAAUUGAGGUAGUGGUUGGUCAAAGCCAAGAUGACAAGUGAAGUUCUCUUCUCAAAUUCAAUAGCAUGUGUCCAGUUCUUCUCUUGUUUUAAUUUAUUGUGUUUGAAAGUCUUGUACUCAUUGAAGAGAGGCUUGUUUGUGAGCCCCAGAAAAAAUUUGUCUAGUUAAGUUGAGAUCAUUGGAAAUUAAUUUACUAUCUCACGAUCUCAGUAAUGAUUAAAUUGCUUGAGAAUAUUUUUGGAAAUUUUCACAAGGUGAAAUCCUUAAUUUAAGGAUUGGAUAAUAAAGUACACGUUAUGACGAGUUCGUUAAAAUUUUCGAGGAUUUUUUCGGACAUCCAAGCUAUAUGUUAUGAUUUUCGGAAAUUUUGGACUGCAUAAAUUAUUAAAAGAAAAUAGAAAAUAACGUGGAGCGAUCUGGGCCAUCCAAUUCUCCACUGCUUAAUCUCAGCCCUCGGGUUUACUUUGGAUUUUGGCUACAAAUAGCCUUAGAUCAGAUCAGCGAUGGAGAAGUAUCGAGAAGAACCCAGCGUUCUUGACCCGUUUCUGCAGCUCGACGACCCGACGCUGCGAUCCAGCCGACGCUCCACCAUCAGGCCACCUCUGGCUGGAGUACUGCCACCCAUCUCUUCCUCUGGUCGUCGCAGUCACGUUUCCGGUCGCUGUUCGCUCAAUCGUCGGCUGUGGAGGGAGAAUCGACGGUGUGAACAUUGAAGCUUUUCCGGCAGGUUCAGUGAAUUCCGACCACCGUUUGGGCUGCAUGUGGUAUGAAACGUCACCUCCUCGUCAUUCUCUACACGUUUAUGUAAUUAGUUUUCAAAUUGGAUUGAGUUUUGAUGGUUUGCAUUCUGGGUUCGUCUCGGGUCCGUCGCGGUCCCUCAAUGCCGGCAACUUUCUCGGCUUUCCUUGGCUUGUUCCAGCCUCGAAUGCAACUGUAGACAAGAUAUUUGGCAGCUGGCUAGGUAGAUCAUGUCGACAGCCUCAGUUCAUCACCAACGCAGAUUCGACAGUGAGCUCGGGAAGCUGAGUUUGGGUUAGUUCAAGGGAUUUCCUAUUUCGAAGGUAUAAUCUUGAACUAGAUUCUUGUGUUGGUGAUCAGAAAUUAUGCUACUGAGCUUGGUUUGAUAUGAUGAAGUUGAAGGCUCUAUUAUCGAAUUGGUUAUGUUGUCUAGAAUUUUGAUUAUUUGAGUUGAUGUCUACUAUGGGCUAUGUCAAUUGUAAUGGUGAAUGAGUUUGGAAAGGGUUGCUUACGGUGAAUGUGUUUUGUUUGUAAGGUUUCCCAUCGCAGUUAGUAUUGAAAUGAUUAUGCUGAUUUGAA